CCCUGGGAGACGAGUCCCAAAUAGGACGAAAUGCGCAUCCUAGUC
rnacentral:hammerhead_ribozyme from 1 species